CAGUGUCUGGGAUGUGCGUUGUCCUCGAAAAUUUACCACUGUUUGCGAUAAGGGAGAACUUAUUUUCGAGUGGCUGUGAUGCCGCCUCGUUGCGGAACGCAAAGGCUCGGAAGCGUCCACCCACCUGUUGAGGUGUGGUGAAGUUUUUCUGGAUAACGGCAUCCCGGAUUUUAU
rnacentral:other from 1 species